rnacentral:rRNA from 1 species
UACGUAGGGUGCGAGCGUUGUCCGGAAUUAUUGGGCGUAAAGAGCUCGUAGGCGGUGUGUCACGUCGGCCGUGAAAACCUGCAGCUUAACUGUGGGCGUGCGGUCGAUACGGGCAUCACUGGAGUUCGGCAGGGGAGACUGGAAUUCCUGGUGUAGCGGUGAAAUGCGUAGAUAUCAGGAGGAACACCGAUGGCGAAGGCAGGUCUCUGGGCAUUAACUGACGCUGAGGAGCGAAAGCAUGGGGAGCGAACAGG